GGGAAUGUAGCUCAGUGGUACAGCACUUGUCUCACAUGCAUGAGGCCCUGGGUUUGAUCCCAUCACCA
rnacentral:tRNA from 1 species